UGGGGAAUAUUGCGCAAUGGACGAAAGUCUGACGCAGCGACGCCGCGUGUGGGAGGAAGCUCUUCGGGGUGUAAACCACUGUCAGGAGGGAAGAACGGCGCCGGUUCGAACAGUUCCGGCGAUUGACGGUACCUCCAAAGGAAGCGCCGGCUAACUCCGUGCCAGCAGCCGCGGUAAGACGGAGGGCGCAAGCGUUGUUCGGAAUUACUGGGCGUAAAGCGCGGGCAGGCGGUCUGUUAAGUCGUUUGUGAAAAUCCGGGGCUCAACCCCGGAAAUGCAUACGAUACUGGCAGGCUGGAGACUGGUAGAGGCUAGCGGAAUUCCUGGUGUAGCGGUGGAAUGCGUAGAUAUCAGGAAGAACACCUGUGGCGAAGGCGGCUAGCUGGGCCAGUUCUGACGCUGAUCCGCGAAAGCGUGGGGAGCAAACAGGAUUAGAUACCCUUGUAGUCCCUGAGCGGGCUGGCAAGGCGCAU
rnacentral:rRNA from 1 species